UACGUAGGGCGCAAGCGUUAUCCGGAAUUAUUGGGCGUAAAGAGCUCGUAGGCGGUUUGUCGCGUCUGCCGUGAAAGUCCGGGGCUCAACUCCGGAUCUGCGGUGGGUACGGGCAGACUAGAGUGAUGUAGGGGAGACUGGAAUUCCUGGUGUAGCGGUGAAAUGCGCAGAUAUCAGGAGGAGCACCGAUGGCGAAGGCAGGUCUCUGGGCAUUAACUGACGCUGAGGAGCGAAAGCAUGGGGAGCAAACAGG
rnacentral:rRNA from 1 species